rnacentral:rRNA from 1 species
CAGGUGGUUUAUUUUGACGCAACGCGAAGAACCUUCCCUGGGCUGGAAUGCCUCUGACGGCCGUAGAGAUAGGCCUUCCUGGGUAAAACCAGGCAGAGUGCAAGGUGCCGCAGGGCUGUUGUCAGCUUGUUUCGUGGGAUGUUGGGUUAAGUCCCCCAACGGGCGCACCCCUUUUCUAUAGUUCCCCGCGGUUCGGCCGGGCACUUUAAUGAGACUGCCGUUGACAAACCGGAGGAAGGUGGGGAUGACGUCAAGUCUUCAUGGCCUUUAUGUCCAGGGCUACACACGUGUUACAAUGGCAGGUACAAAGGGUUGCAAACCGGCAAGGGGGAGCCAAUCCGAAAAAGCCGUUCUCAGUUCGGAUUGGAGUCUGCAACUGGACUCCAUGAAGCUGGAAUCGCUAG